rnacentral:lncRNA from 1 species
AACGCCGCGGGCAAUUACGUGCUAUCUUCAGUGCUGUUGCUCACUACGAUUCGCAGAACCAUCUUCUCGUCCCCUGACGUAAGGGCGUGCAGUGCUUUGUUUCC